GGAGGCGGGGGGCGGCGGCGGGCGGCGGAGCGCGGGGGCUGGUUCCUGGUCCCCGGGAGAAGCCAAGAAGGUCCUGAGUUCAAGAGAAACAGGUGUCUAAACAGAAGUAAAAUCCUGUGGAAGUUUAGGAUAAUUGAAUUACUCGCAAAUUGGAGUAUCCUGGAAAACUUCCUGGAGGAAGUGGCCUGUGCUUUGUAUCAGGAAAAAUAGGUAUCAGAAUGGUGCGUGGGUUUGGUUUGAAGCUAAAGAAAGGAGAAAGAGCCAGAGAAGAAGAAAAAAAGGUAUUUUGCCUGAGGACUUGAGGCUCCCCCCCCCAACUUUCCUCCGCUUGACUGACUUUCUCACACUCAGAUUCCCUGCAGCCUGCCAGGGACGUGGUAACUGCCCUGCCAAGAGUGAUCCUGGGAGAGCUAUUGAAAGAGCUCUGAGUAAGUACACACUGGGCGGAUUUUCCCUCCCCUUCGUACCUGCUCCGCACCUGUACAGGGAGCAGUCCCACACAUAUCACCUGAUCGCAGCCCUUUCAGAGACCGUGAGAAAAAUAAAGUCCAGCAUAGAAGAGAUGUUUGUCUCUGCAGGGCUGCAGCCAGCUCCCCACGGUCCGGGUGCCCAGAAACAGCACAUUCCUGGCCGGGUGUGCACGCGUGUUUGCCCACACGCGCGUGCUGGGUGGGGGCACCAGCAGGGGAGGGGAGCCGGGCAUCACCUGCGUAAUAACUGCUUUGCUGCCUCCAUUUUUGGGCAUCCUUCCUGUCUGGAAGUUUUGUGAUCCUCUACUAGAAUCAUUAUUAUGGUCCCUCUAGACAAGAGUCUGUGUAUGCUCAUCACAGCUGAAUGCAUCACCAGGAUGUCAGACAUUAGGGUUCAUGGAUGAAACGCCCUGGGGCCUCUGAAGCCCUUGAAAUGGACCUUUAGAAAGAGCUUCUUUUUCCCCCGUGUUUGUCUUUUUAGGGCCUCCUUGGCAUAUGGAAGUUCCCAGGCUAGGGGUGGAAUCCGAGCCACAUCCGUGACCUACACCGCAGCUCACGACAACGCUGGAUCAUCAACCCACUGAGUGAGGCCAGAGAUCAAACCCGAGUUUUCCUGCACACCAGUUAGGUUUGUUACCACUGAGCCGCAACAGGAACUCCCAGGAGCUUUAUGAGUGAAUGAAUAAAUGCAUCAUUCCACCCCCACCUCACCGCCGCCACCCCGGGGGAGAGAGUCUACAGCUUUUAGCAGAAUCUCAAAGUUUUUUGUAACGCAGGAAGGUUGAGGAAGCUGAUCCAGGCAAUCUCGAUGUAUAAGUGGGUACUCUAAGGCCCAGAGAGGGCCAGGGACUGGUUCAGGCAACAUAGGGCAGAGUGGGGGCCAGAAGCCAGCUCGGAGUCCUUUGUACCAUUCCCCAGUGCUGUGGAUCUUGGGAAAUUUAGGGUGGGGUUUAUGGAGUUGGGAUCACCGCUAGAACUUGGAUUUAAAAUAGACACUUUAAUAAAGGUCCUUUGAGUCUCCAGAACUUUGUUUUCUUAAUUUGGGGGGUACUUGAGCUGCUCUGCACGCAGCAUUUGGACAGAGAUAGGAUGGGGGAAAGCCAAGUGUCUGCCCAUAGAAGAGGAUUCAGGAAUGCUUGGAGCAAGAGUCCUGGUUGCCAUGCAGAGGCAUUAGAAACGAUCACAACCCUGCAUUCCAUCUUUGAUAAAAACCAAGUUGCUACUUUGGAACAAAACUGCCUAGUUGGUUUCUGGCCAAGCUGGGACCUUGCACUGCAAACUGGGGGCGAGGGCAGAAAACAGAAGCUUUCAACAUUGGCUCAUAGCAGCCUCCCCUGACCCCUCCCCUCCCUGCCCCCCUGAAAACUUGACUAGAGCCAGUGAGACCAAGGGAAAGUGCACUUUCCUAAUGGUCCCUGAACAGGAUGGUUGCCAAGAAGGCCUUUCCUGAUGGGGCGGGGGCAGGGCACCGGAAUGCCUUCACUCCCACAUUUGGCUGGCCCACAGCAGCCUUGGAGGGCAGGGUCUAAACGUGCUGUCAGCUAACCUCUAACCCUCUGAGCAAAACUGCGGGGAGGCCAGCCUGCAAGCCCCAGGUUGAAGGCAGGUGCUCCCGCGAGAUCACAUGCCUGCUGGCUUGCACACUUGUGGUGAAUGACUCGAAACAGUGCUGGGGCUGGUGCCUUUGGGAGCUUCUGGGAAGUUCAGGAAGGUGGGUGAAGCCUUAGCCCCUUUAAACCCAGACCAUGUUUGUGUUUGCUGAUACCUGCUCAAAUUGUGACAUCGGGUCACGUUUCUCAAAAAAUCAAAAACAGAAACAAUUCAGCUAGCCAAGAAAAUCAGUUGGAUAAACCUUAGGACCUGACAUUGAUAUAGGAUGAAUGUAUCUGGCAUCUUUUCAAUUAAGAUUGCCAUCAUUGUUACCUUGCUUAUUAUCCUCAGCCUAUAGGACAAGGAUGGGGGGAGGCAGAGGAUGGGACCUAAGAGGUGGCCGAAUGGGUCCAUUCAUUGAAUGCAUUGGAAAACUGAACCCAGGGAGAAGCGACUGGCCCAAGGUUUAACAACUUCCCCAGAGAGGGAAGAGCAAAGCCAGAAUUAGGCUCAGGUUUUCCACCCACCAGUCCAGUAACCCUCCCCACUGUGUCUAUGAGAAGAACGCUUUGAAAUAUCAUCUGCAGCAAGUGACUAACGUUACCAACAAGAAGGGUUUUCCGGUUAAGAACCGGAGCUACCUGCUGGUAAGUGAGUGUGGCAGUGUGACACACCAUGCCCAGCAUAGAGUGUGGUUAAAGGCCAGGCUUGCUGCACUGUGAUUCCCUUUUGGAUUUGCUGACUACCCUGUAAUCUCUGGAAAAGAAGGAAUCUUGGUUUCCAAGUUCCAGAAGACAGGAAGUCGCUUGCAGAGGCCAUACAGAAUAGCAGAGGGAGAGGUGAGAAAGAAUGGAUUUUCCAAGUGGUAGGUAGAUGCUAUUUGCAUGUGAGCUGUAUAUGUUCCUUUUAAAUAAUCAGGCUUAGGAAACAGGAAGAGACAAUCCUGGCAGCUGUCACAACUGCAGCUUAAGACUCUGGUGGGUUCCAUCAGGUCUGGGAGCUUCUGGUCUCUUUCACAGAGGUACCUGUCCUGCUGCCUUGUAGUAUUUGACGGCUGACAGGCACUUUUUAGUCCAUUACAGCACUUCGUCCUCAUGUGUAGCCUUAUAAUCUUGCCUGGAAGGACUUUGGUGAAAGGCCCAGGGAGGGGAGGGAUGAUUCAGGUGACCAGUUCAGGAGGCUUUUGGCUAGACCCUGGGCUGUUGGGGGCCCAGAACAUAGGCUAGACAAGCUUUCCAGGGGAAAAAAAAAAAAA
rnacentral:lncRNA from 9 species